GCGUAGGUGGUGGUUUAAGUCUGUUGUGAAAGCCCUGGGCUCAACCUGGGAAUUGCGGGAUACUGGGGCUAGAGUGUGGUGAGGGUAGUGAAUUCCCGGUGUAGCAGUGAAAUGCGUAGAGAUCGGAGGAACAUCCAUGGCGAAGGCAGCUACUGGACCAACACUGACACUGAGGCACGAAAGCGUGGACUCCAUGGCGAAAUGCU
rnacentral:rRNA from 1 species